rnacentral:misc_RNA from 1 species
GGUGGGGAUUCAUACUGACUUGAAGAAAUAUAAGAUCUGAAGCAUAUGCUGCUACACAUCUAUGCAAAGCCUGGUCAUCUGAAAGUUUUCCUUUUGCUCUAAACCAGUACCUCAAGCUUGGAGGAGAUUUUGUCUGAUUAGUGUUGGUGUUCGGCUCACAAAACCUUAUCUCUAUGGGCCAAGGGAUGAAAUCUUUUGAGGCCACCUUGUUCCGAUAGCUCCUUGGAAGACGAGGAUCAGUUAGACGUCUCUCUCGCAGCUCGUCGAAUGACAGAAGCAUCUCUGGUUCUGGAACAUUUGGCAUAGUUACUUCUUGGUGGACAAACCCUAGUUGUUCUUUCUGAAAUGAAGCAAUCAAAGUAAAUACAACGGUCCCUUUUUGUAUUGCAUUAACUCUUCUGGUGGCAAAGCUUUUCCCAUCACGUACCCGGUCAACUUCAUAUAAAAUUGGCAUGUUGAAAUCCCCAACAAGAAGAAAAUACGCAUGCAGGCUAUGAACAAUUUUAAGGCAAUCAACAGUUUUUGAUGCA